UUUUAAACCUUAUGAAUUUCUGAGUAGUUCUGCUUUGUUGCUUUCCUAGGGACAAAGGCAGGCUUGGAAAAAUAGGAAUUUCAGACCCUGAUAGCUUCCUGAUACUGUGCUAAAGACUUGUAUUACCUUUAAUUGAUGUUUCUGAGUGCAUCCUCAUUGAUUUACUCCAGCCGCGCUCUUUAUGCAGAGAACAUUCUAUUCUCAGAGCGUAAUCUAAACCCAUGCAAACAAUAUAGAUGUUUCUUGAUAACAUAAUUUAGAAAGAGGAGAUGUAAUUACCGCCUAUGCUGAACACACAGCACUGCGAACCCGUGACCCCUUUCGGAAUUCGUACAGGGAGAAACUCCCAAAUCCUUCAAUGUGCUUCUCAUUUUGCUGAAAGCCUUUUCCAUCUUAUUAUAUAUGCUGGUCCUCAUGCCUUUGAUUUUUAGCUUCCUAACGAUAUCUCAUGCUGAAAUUAUUUAGAAGGAUCGCAAAGGUUCUUACAGAUGAAAUUCAGGGAUCAUUCCUGCAGAAAUGUGUCCAUUGGUGGAAGAGGGGACAGCAGCAACGUGAGCAUCUGCUGCAGGGUGAUGGGAGGGGACCAGGCGAGUUCUCCCUGGGGUAUCUUGUUCUUUUAAGAAGUGCAAUGAAACAGGUUCUUGCUUUUAAAUACUUGAAGAGGAGGUUGGGACUCAUCUGACCUGCUCCAGAAAGUCUGCUUGCCUAUAUGUGGUCCAAUUGCUGUGAUUUAAGAGAGCAGUUGGAGCACUUUGGUCUUAUAAAUCAUCCCAUAAGCACUACAUUUCAUUGUCUUCUUGCUGAUGGAAGGGUGAGACUUUACAAUCUGAAUUUUCAUCUCUAGGGUCAAAUCUGUCUCGGUUCAGUAGUGGCUGGAAAACAUUGCCCUGCAGUGGGGUUUUACGUGGAAUAAGCACAUGUCCCUCCACUGCAUGGUCAAUUGAGAUCCAUAUAGCAGAAAAAUCACCACUGUAAUUGCUCCCUGUCUCACCUGCCUCAGGAAAAAAUAAAAUAAAAUAAAAAAUAAUAAUAACAAAAUAAUCAAUGAGUGAAUUGGCCCUGGAGACUCAAUAACUCUUCUCUCAUUUAGAGAGUGGUCCCUGCUGAACACUUUUCCACAUUGCAAAGUCACCACAUAAUGGAACAAUUCAGCUCAACUGACAGCCCUGGCUAAAAUAGCCCCGGCGCUGCACGGGGAGAUAGGCGAGGUGCUGGAGGACUGUCAGCGGGAACCCUGCCCGUGCUAAAAGAGUUUUUCAAAUGACUUCAGCGAGACCAGAAUUAGCUCGUAAGCCUGAUGCAAUGAUUCAGUGCAAAGCCCUUUUGUGUUUUGAGGUUCUGCUCAUCAGAUAUCGGCUUUUCCCCGUAUUCUGCAGCAGCGGUGGCAGGUUUCCCAUUGGCACCGACAGGUCUUAAGAACCAAAAGGUGCAUAUUGCAAUUACCCAUCAGUAAUCUGGAUUGGACACGGAGGGAGCAAAAGGGUUCAGCAACCACUGGGAUUAAGAGAGAACAAGGAGACCAACUUCAGGGAAAACAGCAGCAACCAGACACGCUGUGAGCCAGCAGAAAACACAAGAGAAGAGGAACUGGUGUACACAAAUGAGGGUGGACAGCAGUGCCCGAGGAACGGCCAGGAACACAAACCCCACUUCUCCUGUGAGUGAAGAGGCUCCUUCUCGGGAGAAGGGACUUGCUGGUCAGACACAAAGCGCAAAAUUAAGUCAGAACAGAAGUGAGAUGUGUCCGUGUGGAACACACGACUGAAGUCAGGAGGGCCAAAGAAUGCCUGGACCCGUGUCUGCCACAAGUAUCCUCUGUGAUUAGUUUGCGCUCUGAUCGCUUUUAGAAGCCCUGAAGUUAACCCUCGGCACUGAGCCGCACAGAGUCCCUGCUCAGCUUUGGGGGUCUAAGUAUAAUUAAUACGUGGAGUUUCUCUGUUCGUCACUCAGAGAAGGGGCUGGGGCUGUGCAAAUACUGCAUGAUGCCUGGAUUCUGCACGCAGAGGCCAUUUGGGCAUCAAACUAAUUGCCCUAGCCAUGUUUUUUCUAUCCAUAUGUAUAUGCAUACUGUUGUUAACUGGCAAAGGCUGAGCAGGCUGUUCACCCAGCAGCUUUGCAAGGCAGAGAUACAGGGGCCCUUUAAAACUUACAUGAAUGAGCCUCUCAUAAAUUCCAUAUUUGAGAAACUCUGGCUGUGUCCUUUGGUCAUAAAAAGAAAUUAAAACUGCAUAUAACAUUCAGUACCCUGUAAUCCCGCUGCACAGCCUUGUGCCUGCAUAAAUCAGAGCCUCUCAUGAAUAUUGCACUGUACCUGCAGCUGCCUGACCCACAUGUUUAAAAAAGAUAAAUAAAAGGAAAACAAAGCAACAGUCACGUAAAGGCUUCACGAACAGCACCUGCUUUCUCAAAGCCCAAAAGGUCACCAAAAGCAACCUGAGAAACACACAGCUUUCAGGGACCCCAUCAAAGCCUUAAAAGGAGGAGAGACUGUGGGUUUUUUUUGAUUCCUCGCUUGCAAGAGUGAAGAAAGCCCCUGUGACACACGGUAAAUCCUCUGGCAGGAGUUUUGUGGUCAGGGAGAGGGACCAGCUGCAGAACACCCCGAGAGAGCUGAGGAGCAAGGAAGAAAAGCUAUUUUAUAAGCCUGGGAGGGGGAGCAAGACCCAAGCUUCAACAGUAAAGUGCUUUUCCACCAGAAAUAACUCACAGAAGUUUAGGAUUUCAGAUUUUGCAUUGCUUAAAGAUAAGGAUACGCUCCUUUUUUUGUUUGUUUGUUUGUUUUUAAUCCCAAAAUUUUACAGAAUAAAAAUCUAGCUUCUUGUCUAGCUCCAAAAGAGAGACCAGGGAGAGCCACCAUUAGCA